UUACUUCCUUAUAGGACUCUUCUUUUGUAUGUUUGUUAUCUUAUAAGUAGUGUAGUCCUAGUUUGAACUUUACCCAGUUUCCACCAGGUAUAUGUUGCUAUAGGCAGUGGGACCUGCUAUGUUGAGGUGGAUGACAAUGGAUCUAGUGUUUCACGAGAUAGACCGGUGCUGAUGAGAGAAAUAUAUGGUAAUCUUUUUUCAAAGUGUUGAACUGAAGUUGAGCUGGAACAUACACAUUGGCACAUUGGACAGACUUUCGUAAACACCCUCACUGGUUAGUUUCUUUUACAUGGUCUAGACUUUUUGAUUUUUAUUGUUUCAUAAAAGUUGAAAAUUGUGCCAUGUAAGAGGAUGGGGAAUUAUAUUUUUAUUUCUGAUUUUGUUAAUGUUUUGAGGAUCAAUAGAAGUGGGCUGCUGAGAAUAUUGCAAGUCGUGCUGUUAUGCAAUUUUAAUCGCUUAGACUAGUUGCACAAAAGGCAGUGAUUGUUUCCACCAGGUAUAUGUUGCUAUAGGCAGUGGGACCUGCUAUGUUGAGGUGGAUGACAAUGGAUCUGGUGUUUCACGAGAUGGACCGGUGCUGAUGGGAGAAAUAUAUGGUAAUCUUUUUUCGAAGUGUUGUACUGAAGUUGAGAUGGAACAUACACAUUGGCGCAUAGGACUUUUAUCCCAGUUCGUGGAGAUAGUCGACAUUAAAAUACAGCCAUUUAGAUGAUAUGCAUGCUUUUCCAGCAAGCUUUGGCUUCUUGGCUUCAAAGGAGAGGCUCUAAACUAUAUUUCUGACUUUUCCUUGUUGGAAAUUGUUACUAAACUCACUGGAGGCCAAAUGAAUUCGUAAGGUUUUGAAGACAAGAUGUUGGUA